GCAGCUUCCGCCACCUCCUCCUCUGCUUCCCCGCCUUCCACCAGCAACUCCAAUCUUCCUCCACCUCCUCAAGAUGCAUGGACUCUUGCUUCUCAGCGAUUACUUCCUCGCUGGAAGUCUCUUUCCCACUCUCACCUGUUGCCAAUUCCUAUUUCGAUAUCGAAAGUUAAUCAAGUGGAUGCAGCACGGCUAGAUAUUGAAAUGUCGGCCAUGUUGAAAGAACAGCUGGUUAAGGUUUUUGCUUUGAUGAAGCCAGGAAUGUUGU
rnacentral:misc_RNA from 1 species